GACGUAGGGCGCGAGCGUUGUCCGGAUUUAUUGGGCGUAAAGAGCUCGUAGGCGGCUUGUCGCGUCGACCGUGAAAACUUGUGGCUCAGCCACAAGCUGGCGGUCGAUACGGGCAGGCUGGAGUUCGGUAGGGGAGACUGGAAUUCCUGGUGUAGCGGUGAAAUGCGCAGAUAUCGGGAGGAACACCAGUGGCGAAGGCGACUACCUGGCCUGUUCUUGACGCUGAGGCGCGAAAGCUAGGGGAGCAAACGGG
rnacentral:rRNA from 1 species